CGCCAGUUAACAUCUCUCUUCACUUUUCUCAGUAUCACUUCUCAACAGAAAUGGCGGUCUCGAAGGCAACUUCAUCAGUCCUUGCUGUAAUUGUCGUUGUUUGUUUUCUCAUCGGAACUACAAUAGCUGCCGACGCACCUGCACCGGCACCUGCUUCUUCCGCCGGAUCUAUGUCUCCGUCAUUCGCCGCUGGCUGUGCUGUCACUGUUUUCGCUUUCCUCUUCGGAUCUGCACUCAGGAUCUGAAGUUUUUGAAGAGUAGAGAGUGAGAUGAGUUUGUCUCAAUUUUCUACUGCUUAUUCAUUGUUUGCAUUUCAGAUUUCUUCGUGUUUUCUGGUGUAUAUGAAUAUAUGAUAUGUUACUAGGAACUGCUUCGUGUAUGUAUAGUCUAUGCAUUUCUUCUGUUCUAUGGAUUAUUUCUGCGUUUUCCAGAGUAGCUUUUUUGAUAUAUGAUAUUUUGGACGGCCCUAUGUAUUGAG
rnacentral:misc_RNA from 1 species